GAUGAAGAACGCAGCGAAAUGCGAUACGUAAUGUGAAUUGCAGAAUUCAGUGAAUCAUCGAAUCUUUGAACGCAUAUUGCGCUCUCUGGUAUUCCGGAGAGCAUGCUUGUUUGAGUAUCAGUAAACACCUCAACUUCCAUAUCUUUUUUGAAAUGGGAGUUGGACUUGAGUGAUCCCAACGCUUUUCCUCACCGAAAAGUGGCGGGUUACUUGAAAUGCAGGUGCAGCUGGACUUUUCUCUGAGCUAUAAGCAUAUCUAUUUAGUCUGCCUAAAAAACAGAUUAUUACCUUUGCUGCAGCUAACAUAAAGGAGAUUAGUUCUUGUGCUGACUGAUGCAGGAUUCACAAAGACAGGCUUCGGCCGACUUUGUAAACUCGAUCUCAAAUCAAGUAAGACUACCCGCUGAACUUAAGCAUAACAAUAAGCGGAGGA
rnacentral:misc_RNA from 1 species